rnacentral:tRNA from 1 species
GCCAGCCUGGCAUAGUGGUUUGAGCACUAGACUAUGACUCUGGAGAUCACGGUUUGAUUCCUAGCUUGGCC